AACGAACGCUGGCGGCAUGCCUAACACAUGCAAGUCGAACGAGACCUUCGGGUCUAGUGUCGCACGGGUGCGUAACGCGUGGGAACCUGCCCUUAGGUUCGGAAUAACUCCCCGAAAGGGGUGCUAAUACCGGAUAAUGUCUUCGGACCAAAGAUUUAUCGCCUUUGGAUGGGCCCGCGUUGGAUUAGCUAGUUGGUAGGGUAAAAGCCUACCAAGGCGACGAUCCAUAGCUGGUCUGAGAGGAUGAUCAGCCACACUGGGACUGAGACACGGCCCAGACUCCUACGGGAGGGAGCAGUGGGGAAUAUUGGACAAUGGGCGAAAGCCUGAUCCAGCAAUGCCGCGUGAGUGAUGAAGGCCUUAGGGUUGUAAAGCUCUUUUACCCGGGAUGAUAAUGACAGUACCGGGAGAAUAAGCUCCGGCUAACUCCGUG
rnacentral:rRNA from 1 species